rnacentral:rRNA from 1 species
UGGGGAAUAUUGCACAAUGGGCGAAAGCCUGAUGCAGCAACGCCGCGUGCGGGAUGACGGCCUUCGGGUUGUAAACCGCUUUCAGCAGGGACGAAGGUUUUCUGACGGUACCUGCAGAAGAAGCACCGGCUAACUACGUGCCAGCAGCCGCGGUGAUACGUAGGGUGCGAGCGUUGUCCGGAAUUAUUGGGCGUAAAGAGCUUGUAGGCGGUCCGUUGCGUCGGAAGUGAAAACUCAGGGCUUAACCCUGAGCCUGCUUUCGAUACGGGCGGACUUGAGGGAUGUAGGGGAGAACGGAAUUCCUGGUGGAGCGGUGGAAUGCGCAGAUAUCAGGAGGAACACCAGUGGCGAAGGCGGUUCUCUGGACAUUUCCUGACGCUGAGAAGCGAAAGCGUGGGGAGCAAACAGGCUUAGAUACCCUGGUAGUCCACGCCGUAAACGGUGGGCACUAGGUGUGGGACCCAUUCCACGGGUUCCGUGCCGUAGCUAACGCAUUAAGUGCCCCGCCUGGGGAGUACGGCCGCAAGGCUAAAACUUAAAGGAAUUGAC